UGGGGAAUUUUGGACAAUGGGCGAAAGCCUGAUCCAGCAAUGCCGCGUGUGUGAAGAAGGCCUUCGGGUUGUAAAGCACUUUUGUCCGGAAAGAAAUCCUUGGCUCUAAUACAGUCGGGGGAUGACGGUACCGGAAGAAUAAGCACCGGCUAACUACGUGCCAGCAGCCGCGGUAAUACGUAGGGUGCAAGCGUUAAUCGGAAUUACUGGGCGUAAAGCGUGCGCAGGCGGUUUGCUAAGACCGAUGUGAAAUCCCCGGGCUCAACCUGGGAACUGCAUUGGUGACUGGCAGGCUAGAGUAUGGCAGAGGGGGGUAGAAUUCCACGUGUAGCAGUGAAAUGCGUAGAGAUGUGGAGGAAUACCGAUGGCGAAGGCAGCCCCCUGGCAAGUACUGACGCUCAUGCACGAAAGCGUGGGGAGCAAAACAGGAUUAGAUACCCUGGUAGUCCGCGCCCUAAAACGAUGUCAACUAGUUGUUGGGGGAUUCAUUUCCUUAGUAACGUAGCUAACGCGUGAAGUUGACCGCCUGGGGGAGUACGGUCGCAAGAUU
rnacentral:rRNA from 1 species